rnacentral:rRNA from 2 species
UGGGGAAUAUUGCACAAUGGGGGAAACCCUGAUGCAGCAACGCCGCGUGAGUGAUGAAGGUUUUCGGAUCGUAAAACUCUGUCUUUGGGGACGAUAAUGACGGUACCCAAGGAGGAAGCCACGGCUAACUACGUGCCAGCAGCCGCGGUAAUACGUAGGUGGCAAGCGUUGUCCGGAUUUACUGGGCGUAAAGGGAGCGUAGGUGGACUUUUAAGUGAGAUGUGAAAUACUCGGGCUCAACCCGAGAACUGCAUUUCAAACUGGAAGUCUAGAGUGCAGGAGAGGAAAGUGGAAUUCCUAGUGUAGCGGUGAAAUGCGUAGAUAUUAGGAAGAACACCAGUGGCGAAGGCGACUUUCUGGACUGUAACUGACACUGAGGCUCGAAAGCGUGGGGAGCAAACAGG